rnacentral:rRNA from 1 species
CAUGGCUGUCGUCAGCUCGUGUCGUGAGAUGUUGGGUUAAGUCCGUAACGAGCGCAACCCUUGUCCUUAGUUACCAGCACGUUAUGGUGGGCGACUCUAAGGAGGACUGCCGGUGGACAAACCGGAGGAAGGUGGGGAGUGACGUCAAGUCAUCAUGGCCCCUACGGCCUGGGCUACACACGUGCUACAAUGGUCGGUACAAAGGGUUGCCAAGCCGCGAGGUGGAGCUAAUCCCAUAAACCGAUCGUAGUCCGGAUCGCAGUCUGCAACUCGACUGCGUGAAGUCGGAAUCGCUAGUAAUCGUGAAUCAGAAUGUCACGGUGAAUACGUUCCCGGGCCUU